rnacentral:lncRNA from 1 species
CAGGCCAAGACCAGCCCAUUUAAAUCAGAUCAGCCCACUAAGCAGAAGCCUCAUUCUCAUGAUUCUCAGUGUUCUGGUACUUGAACAUCUUGGUACAUAACAGGUAGUACCCAAAGUUCAAGAACGCUAUCGCCGUCAACAACCAAAAUACAUAAUCUAAUCUCCCGUCGUUGAUGUUAUCAGGCAACCAUCCUGUAGACCGGCGUACGGAAUCGAUUAUUGCUGUGCUUAGAUAAUAUCCAAUCCCAAUUAACAGUGAUAUCAUAGCAGUAGAAGUGCUUCUUAGCGACUUGGGGAAUUCUUGGUAAUACAAGGCAACUUGUCCUGGAAAAUGAAAAGCUUCACCAACGCCAAUCACGAUAAACUGAACCAUAAGCCAUAGACCUGACAUCGGCACGACUGAGCCGGGUGGUUCACGGUUAAGGUGAUGGGUUCGAACCACACGAAGCCUCCUCGCCUCCACCAAGGCAGAUCCCACCAUAGCGAAUAUGUUAAUGACAUGGCCAAUACCUAUUUGUUGGAGGGGUUUCAGAGAUCUUCGAGUCAGUUUUUCCCACAUUGGGAGCAAGAAACGAUCGAUGAUGGAGAUUGAGAUUGCUGUCGCUAAAAUGCUAAAUACCAGGAAUGACCCAGCUGGGAUUUUGAAGUGUGGUCCGAGGUGCCUGUCCAUGGUUAGGGCUUGGAGGACUGUUAGGCUGUUAAUCAUAGCUAUGGUAGUGCUCAAUAAGAUACUGCUAGACCACAGUGGCAUGAUUUUGAUCAGGGUCUUGAGAUCCUCAACUUCCUCCACUGUACAUAGCCACCAAGAACUUGAAUAGGAGCCGUCUGAUUUUCGGUCAUCUUCGAAUCUUAGCGCUGCACAAUUCAAAAAUCUGCGUGGAAAUUAUUGUCGUCUACUCAGUGUUUUUCAUGGCAAGGAGAAGCAACCAGAAAGGUACUGAAGAUCAAGAAGAAAGUUUGUAAUAAUUUCAGUCAAAAAACAACUCAAUUUCAUAUAAAAUUUCUACAAUUCUCAAACAAUAUUUACAAAUUACUGUGAAUUUCAAAAGCAAUAAGUUGUGCCACACGAUUAUGAGUCUGAUUUUUUUAAAAAAAAUACAAAAAUCAUAUUGCUGAUAGCAUAGCUUGCUUUGCAUGUGGGGGCAGCUGGUAAAGUGUCAAUGUCCUCCUGGACCAUUGCUAAAUUAAUUGGAGAAGAAUCUCUAAAGUUAAUAUACAGAAUAUUUCUUUGGAUUUUGCACAUACGAUACAAGUUAACGUGAGUCAUUCUUCUCCAAUUUAACUGGCUGAAUUAAUUAAAUAACCAAUCCCUUGCUGAAAGCCAUGAAAGCGAAGUUAAGCACCGAACCACUAUUAUUUAAAUUUAUUUAAUUAAUUAACUGUAUUCCAUGACAAUACUGUAGAGUGGAGCUUACCUGAGACUUUCAGUUGGACUGGUAAUCGCCUUUGUGUUGUCCCCGUGAAAAUAACCCUGGCUUUGAACAGUUUCCAGUUUCCUUCUUUUUCUAACAGCUGCAACCAAAACACGAGCAAUGCCUACAAAGGGACUUCCCUUGGGCUUCGUAUGGCAAUAAAACCUUUUUCCCACCAAAAACACGGCUAAUCCAAUGGCAUUAGCAACAACACCAAUGCCAAACCCUAAUCCCCAGCUCACACUAUCCUGAACGUAGAUGAUACCCGUCAAGCUUAUGGCACUGGCAAGGUACAGAGUGAAGAAAUACCAACUAAAGAAAGUUCCUUGCUCAUUUGGCUUCUUGAAUUGAUCUGCUCCCAUGGUCGAUAUCGUGAAGCGCGUGCCUCCUACUCCCAAGGAAGCUAAUGCUAGCGCCAAGUAGAGUACUGCAUAUUGAAGCUUUGACGGGGCUUCGCAAGCAAGUGAUCCAAUCACACAUGUUGGGGGUCUCAAGGAAUGGAUUGUAGAUGCUAGAGUCAGCAAGAUCAAGCUCUGCAGAAAGUUGCGUUAAAAAUCAUAAAAUGAUCAGGGACAAAAUUUACAGUUCAGGAAAAAUUUAUAAACAUCCAUGUAAAGAUUUCAAAAGAGAAAAACAAGGGCGAAAACACAGUAAAAAAAAAACCAUUAUGCAGACUUGCAAAGAACAGAGACUCACCAGUAAAGAAACAAAGGCGAAAACACUAACGAUGUAGAAGGAGCUGAAGAAAGAGUCGGCAAUGACAGCCCCAGCAAUGGGAAAGAGACUGUAGCAACCAAGUAUGAUAUUAUUGAUUUGAGUAGCAUUAAUGCUCUUUAUGUUCAUUACAGUUACCAGAAAUACUAUCAAAUUCGACGACCCCGCUCCGGCUGCUAGUGUAAGACCCAUCACAGCUCCUGUGUACACAUGCUAAAAAAUUAGAAAUAUUGCAAUAUCAGUAAAUAUAACGUUUAAACAGCAUAAUUAAAUCUAACUAAGGUUCCGUUUGUUUGCAGGAAAGUGAAUUCCUUUUGGAAAGUGAAUUCCGGGGAAAGUGAAUUCCUAGAAAGUGAAUUCCGGGAAAAUAUUUUCCGAUGUUUGGUAGUGUUAUGGAAAAUGAACUGGAAAACACUUUCCAGUGUUUGGUGAUGUCAUGGAAAAUGAGCUGGAAAACAACUUAUUAAUAUUUUAUUUUUCUCAAGUUUAUUAAAAUAAUGAGGAACAAAUCUUACAAAUUAAAAAGUUAAAUGAUAAUGAAAUUGAAAAAAAAAUAUAAUUUCAUAAAUUAUCUCAAAUAAAACAAAUAAUAAUCAAAAUAAUAGGGAUCAAAUCUAAAAAAUUAAAAAAAAUGAAAAAUAAAGAAAUUAAAAUAAUAAUAAUCAACAUUUCAUAAAUUAUUUCAAAUAAAAUAAGUAACAAUCAAAAGAAUGAGGAUCAAAUUUGAUAAAUAAAAAAUUUCAAUACAAAAAUAAUAAGAAAAAAGCAAAUAACAAUUAUAAAAAUAAGGACCAAAGUUCAUAUAAAAAUAAAAUUUUAAGAGAUGAAAUUGAAAAAUAAAUAUUCAAAACAAUAUAUAUAUAGCAAUCAAAAGUUUGAGGAUCAAAUUUGAUAUAAUCAGCAAAUAAUGACAUUUCUAAAAUUUUCACAACUUCCGGAAAGUGUUUUCCCCUCAAAUUUUUCAGGAAAACACUUUCCUGAAAACCAAGCCAAAUUUUCCUUUUACUGGAAAGUGUUUUCCAUUGACCAACUUUCCUACUGGCAAACAAACACAAGAAAGUUUGGAAAGUGCUUUCCCGGAAAUCACUUUCCGGAAAACAAACACAGAUAAAAGGAAAACACUUUCCUGAAAACCAAGUCAAUUUUUUUUUUGACUGGAAAGUGUUUUCCGUUGACCGGAAAGUGUUUUCCGUUGACUAGAAAGUGUUUUCCGCUGACCGGAAAUUGUUUUCCGUUGACCAACUUUCCUAAUUACAAACAAACACAGGAAAGUUUGGAAAAUGGUUUCCCGGAAACUACUUUCCGGGAAACAAACAAGUCCUAAGAACAAGAGUUGGGAAAAAUACUUGACCAAAAAAGAUUAAAGAAAGGAAAGAUUCACCUAUAAUGAAAGGGAAGGUAGUCCAUCCUCCUCGUUUGCUGUGCUUCAUUGACGGUGCUUGGUCACUUGGAAUGGAGGUGGUUUGCAAGGAUUCCAUUCUGUCUUUUUUUUUUUUUUUUUCUCAAGGCAGUCUCGGAACAGGGCUAUAGUUGUGCUGUUGGUGGCGUGACAUCUACUUGGUUUUAUACUGGCGUGAAGCUCACAAUUAUGACUGGCGUGAAGCUCACAAUUAUGACCAAAAUAAUUAUUGAAAUUGACAAUUAGUUGAGUUAUGAAUUAAUCACUUCUCUCCCUAUCUCUUUUUUCUAAGAAGGUAAUUUUUCUGUAAUUAAUAUAAUUUCGAUUUAUUGGAAGUGCUGUGGACAUAAGACAGAUUGAUAAUUAAUGUUUACACUUACUAAAUGAUGAUGGGUAUGAUACAUAAAGGAAAUUAUUAUUUUUAAGUCAAGACUUUCACAAGUAUCUAUAGAUAAUCUUGAAUGGUGCUACUCCCCCCACUUAUUUAAUGCAUAAAAUGACAACAAAUAGAAACGACAAUAAAUACAGGCUUUUGAAAAAGUACUGCCCCACUUAUUUAAUAAAACACAAACUAAAAGAAAGGGUAUGCAAACUCAAGGAAUAAUAAUGCACACACCAAUAAAAAAAUAUACAAGUUGAAGUAACUAUUAUGAUCCAUAAUUGCAUAAGUAUGAAUAAACAGUAAUUUUACAAUAUAAUUUAGUUUAUUUGCUAACACAAUUAAAAAAAAAGGUAUAUGGGCUGAAGUAAUUGUUAUAAUUUAGAGUUGCAUGAGUUGAAUGAACAAUAAUUUUAGUGCUAAUGGCACAUAGAGUACAUCAUUAAUGGCAAGAAGUUAAUUAGUGCUAAUGCCACAUAGAGUACAUCAUUAAUGGCAAGAAGUUAAUUAGUGCUAAUGCCACAUAGAGUACAUCAUUUUGACGGGGUUUGUGCAUAUGAACCAAUCACACAUGGUGGAGGUCUCACGGAAUGGAUUGAAGAUGCAAGGGUUAACAUGAUGCCACCCUGAAAAUUUUAGUAAAAUUAUGGAGUGGCGUCUUUAACUUGAAAAUUUUUAUUUUUGAUUAAUAUAAGUAUUUGGGUCAACUUGUAUACACCUCGACUAAUUCUACGGACCCUGAAGUUAAUGACCAUGUAAACAUCCAAUGACUCUAUGGUUUGUGGAACUCGAACUAAUGUCUUUUUUUUAUAUAUAAUAAUCGAGAUAUUAUUGAUGGAACCGGUUUACCAUUAAAACUAUGAUAAAUUAAUUAUAUAUAAGCUUUGACAAGCUUCUAUACCGAAAAUACUUCACUUAUUAGUUCAUGAUAAAAUAUUGCUAGGCCUCUAAUUAAAUCAUUUCUGGUGUAUGCAAAAUUAUUGUUCCAAACCUUUAACUAAAAUGUAAAACUGUGGAGAAUAAGUUGAAAUUGUGUAUUCAAAUCCAUCUUAUCCUCAAAGAUAAGCUUGUUCCUUGCUGUCUAAAUACUCCAUAAAAUAUCAUAUGAUACCAUCAUUAAGGUAUUUUGAUGGAACUUGUUUUUUGUUAUAUCUCAUCAUUAACUGAUAAUUUGAUCUAUUCUAUUCAGCAUGCACCUAGAAAUACUAAACUAGUUCUGAAAUUAUUGCAACAAUCUCCACGUGUGUUAGUAAUGGAUAAAAAUUAUCAUGUUUUGUUUAAUGUUCAUAAAAAGAAUAUAUUGCUUAGCUAGGAUGUGUCAAAUGAUGGCGCGUUAUGAAGACUCUAAUAAACAAUCUGCCAUGCAAUAGUAACUAUGAACAUUUCAAUUUUAGGAAAAAUCCUUUUCACAAGAGGUAUGAGUAAGGAAAGUUUCCUGGAUAAAAAAAAGUUAUCAAUUAAUUUUUUUUUGGACUUAAUAGUAGAAGCACUAUUUGCUUCUUCCCCCCACAUUCUUGUAUUAGCUUUGUUUUCAUGGAGAGUUAUAUCUGCUAGCAAUUAAGUCAUACUUUGUAAUUAAUUCUCUUUGGAUGGUUGUAAGUAUCUUUUUCAUACUGACACUAAGUUAAGACGUGCUUCCCUGUAUCUAUCAAAGAUGAUGAAAAUGUUUAGAACAAGAAAAAAUAUGUGUGGAUAGAUUCUUUUAACAUCUUAUCAUAUAACUAUUUGUUUGUUCAGAUGUGCCUGUUAUUGUGCUUGUUAUUGCCAACUCGAGACAAAUAAUUAUUUUUGAAAGUCUCUUCAACUACAGUGCUAAUGAGACAAUCUAUGAAUUGCCAUUUUUUUUGGAAAAGAACGAUGAAUUAUUGGUUGGCCAUUAGUGGAGAAAGCCCGACACUUUUUACUUAUUAGCUAUUGCUUAUUGAUAGUGGAAUGUGAAGGAUCCACGAGUUUUAUACGUGAUCCUAAAUCUUUCUUUAUAAUUCUAAUUAUUUUCAACUUAUUUAUAUAAUUUUUUGUCAUUCUUUAGUCUAUUUUUUUAAUUAGAUAUCUUCAUGUAAAUUGAUAGAAAUAUAUUUUUAAUUGAGAAAUCAAAACCCACUUAAUCUGUUAAAAAACAAAUCUGAAAAAAAAAACACAAUGUCAAAAUUAAUUUAUUUAUUUUCAUGAACAAUUCUUUUCAGUGUAUCAGGUUAGCGGAAAUCAAACGUACAGCGAAAUCACUAUUAACGGGCAGAGAUAAAAUGAAGGGAACUCGAAAGAACAAUUAAAUCCUGACGUCUCGAACAGACCAAGAGCAGAUAUACAGAUUUAAACCAUAGUUAUUAAACCCGGCCUGGCGGGUCGACCCGGGACCCGGUCGACCCGGUGGCUGGACCGGUUCGGGUUUAAUAAAAGACCGGUUGUGGCAACAGCCCGGCCAAACCCGGGCGACCCGGGACCCGGGUGACCCGGGACCCGGGUGACCCGGGCAAACCCGGACGAGACCCGGGUUUUUUUUUUUUUUUAAAUGUGGGAUAAAAAAAAUUUGGUUUAAAUAUUUCAACUUAAAAUGAUAACAUAAUAUCUUUUCAAUGUGGGGUUUGAAGCCCUUUCAUAUAUACUCUAUGUUCCCAAGGAAAAAAUCAUGUUUUUUCAAUGUGGGAUAGAAAACCUUUUGGUUUAAAUACUUCAACUUAAAGGGAUAACAUAGUAUCUUUUAAAUAUGGGAUUUGAAGCCCUUUCAUAUAUAUACUCAAUGUUCCCAUGAAAAAAGUUAUGUUUUUUCAAUGUGGGAUUUGAAACCCAUUAGUAUAUACUCUAUGUUCCCAAGGAAAAAAUCAUGUUUUUUCAAUGUGGGAUAGAAAACCUUUUGGUUUAAAUACUUCAACUUAAAGGGAUAACAUAGUAUCUUUUCAAUGUGGGAUUUGAAGCCCUUUCAUAUAUAUACUCUAUGUUCCCAUGAAAAAAGUUAUGUUUUUUCAAUGUGGGAUUUGAAACCCAUUAGUAUAUAUACUCUAUGUUCCCAAGGAAAAAAUCAUGUUUUUUCAAUGUGGGAUAGAAAAUCUUUUGGUUUAAAUACUUCAACUUAAAGGGAUAACAUAAUAUCUUUUCAAUGUGGGAUUUGAAACCCUUUCAUAUAUAUACUCUAUGUUCCCAUGAAAAAAGUUAUGUUUUUUCAAUGUAGGAUAAAAAACUUUUUUAAUUUAAAUACUUAUAACUUAAAAGCUUAAUAUAAUAUCUUUUUAAUGUGGAAUAAAAAACUUUUUAAAAUAUUAUUUUAAACUUUAUUAUUUAUAAUAUGUAUAAUCUAUAUUUACAUGAAUUUUUUCAUAUGAAAUAUUAAUUUUUUUUUAAUUAUUAUGGGUUAAUCCGGGUCAACUCGGGUUGACCCAUGAAACCCGAGACCUGGCCCCUUGGCCGGGUCAACCCCGGGCCGGGUUUAAUAACUAUGAUUUAAACACUAAUCGAGCCAUCUACCGGGUUUCCUGUUUCGCAGAAUUUCCUGUGAUAUGCGCUGCAAAUAGGAAAAAGAAAUCAUCGUAGCCAAAGUGCACUGCAGUCAACUCUCUACCACUAGCACCAAGGGUGCAAUGAAAACGACUUCCAAUAAAAAAAAAGAAAAAAAAUGUCAAACGUGUUGAUAGUGGUGAAAAAGCAUUAAAGAGGAGGUGGUGGUGGUGAUUUUGUGGGUUGAAAAUGUCAGAAAAAUAAUUUACAAUAAAUUUUAAAAAGUUAAUAUUUUUAAAAUUAUCUAAUAAACUAAAAUUACUUAGUGUUUUAUUGUGGCCAUCUACGAUGAAAUGUUGAGUUUUUUUUUUUAGCUGUUUUUUUGUUUUCUAUGCCUUUUAGUUUUUUUUCUUUUUUUUUUCUUUUUUUUUUUAUCCUUUUAAUACUAAAACUGCUCAACCUUUCACUUUCAUGGUAGCAAUCCACAGUGAAACACUAAGUUAUUUAUUUAUUUAUUUAUUUUUUGUUUUGUUUUUUAGCUGUUUUUUUUAAACUGUUUUUUUGUUUUCUAUGCCUCUCAUUUUUUUUCUUUUUUUUUCUUUUAAUAUAUUUUUUUAAUUUAGUUUAUUAAUGUUAAUUUUUUUUAUAUAGUUAUCAAACUUUCAUGACAUUGAUCCCGGGUUUAACAAGUUAACUUGGUUACAUGAGUUAACCUAGAUUUUUUUUUGUUUUUUUUUUAAAAAUUUUUUUUAUUAAUAUUAAAUUUAUUUUUAUUUAGUUAUCAGACUUUCAUGAUAUAUAUUUUAAAUUUCAUGGGUCAACCAAUUAAUUAUGAAACAAGUGUUGAAACAUGUUUUGCUGGUGUAAAAUAUUAUGAAUACAGGAAAAGAAGGUGAUAUUUAUAUUUUUUCCCCUGACGGUCAAGGGUUUAUUAAAACUUAAAUUCCAGAUAUGCACAGAGGCAAAAAUGGAAGUAACCAACAGAAGCCUGCUCGUCGAGAACGUGGUGAUUUUUCAAUUUUAUGUGUUUUAAUGGAAAAGGCAAAACAAAAUCUGAUAUACUAUUAAAAGAAAGAAAGAAAAAUCUAGCUACCAGUUUUUCUGAAUCCUUCAGCAUAGCCACUUUCCCGCGAAUCUCGGUUUUCUGACAAGACUUCUUGCCGUUGACUGUGCAUUUUGCUCACUGGAAUUCUGAAAGUAGGUGGAAAAGAUUAGCCCUGCUCUGCCUAUGUAAGCUAUGUGCAGUCACAGCAAGGUUGCAGGCCAAAAUAAUCAACUCUGCCACGUCACAUACAUGUCAGUGCCACAUCAGCGAUCACAGCCACAUCAACAGCUGACACAUCAGCUCUCUAGAUUGCAGGUCACUUGCCGCGUUAGUUGUCCACUUCAUCUCGUCAGAAAAUCCAGUGGUGUUCCCAUUUUAAUUUGGUCAAUAAGCCAUUACAAACUUAUUGAAAAAAUAUAUUUUUUUAUUUAUUUUUAUUUUUUUAAUUAAUUAUUUUUAUUUAUUUUGUUUUUGUUAAUAUUAAUUUUUUUCUUAUUUAGUUAUCAAACUUUCAUGAUACGGAUCUUGGAUUUAAUAGGUUAGCCCAGUUAAUUCUAGGUUAACCAGUUAAUUUUUUUUUCUAUUUAAUUAUCAAACUUUCAUGACAUGAAUUCAAUAUUUGACGAGUUAACCUAGUUUGAAGGGUUAACCCAGUAAAUUCAGAUUUUUUUUUCUUCAUUAGUUAUUUUUUUUAUGUUGGUUUUUUUUCUAUGUUUUAUUUUUUAUUUUUACUUAACCUAUUUAAUUAUUACACUUUUAUGGUAUGACCUUGCAGCCAAACUAGUAUCCAAUGCUAUUUGGUUUAGUAUUGCAGCCAAACCUACUUAAACUUUGAUCAUGCAAGUUUAAUAUUAUUAUUAAUAUUAUAAAUAUUACUCUUAGGUCAGGCGUUACAGCCAAACCAAGAUUCUUGAGUAUAGCUUUGUAGAAAGACCUAGUACUUUUAGAUCUUAACUUUUUAGAUAUUUUUUUACAAGAAAAAUUGACCUGCGGCAUCGCACGGAUCACCUAACUAGUAAAUAUACUAGAUUUAUAGAUUAAAUCUAAAAUAUUCUAUACAAAAAAAUAACACACUUACUAGCAUUUGUUUAUAUAAUGAUUAAAAUAUGUUAUUAUUUAGCUAGAGCCAUUAAACUAAUAAUGAAACCGAAGCAGAUGUUCAAGUUCAUCUUAACUUACUAACAUAUCUAUUUUUCAUCAAUGAAUAACUGCCCUAGAUCUAUUUCAAAAAUUAAAAAAAAAUACAACGAAUUAUAUCCACGAGGAUAAACAAUAUUGAUGGUAGUAAAAUUAAUGAAGGUUAACUAUGGUAUAUGUUGGUGCUGGGAAAAGUGACCAAUAUAUCAAUCAAAUUCACAAGUACUCACAAGUCUCAAUUUGUUUGUUUGUUUAUGCAAUUAAAAAUAGGUUUACCUUUUUAUAUAUUGGCUCACACUUUAAAAACAAGCCGAAGAUAAUUGUUUUGUACUUUUUAUACCUAAUUAGUUAUAUUUAUACAUAACACCCUAGCCAAGUUAUUUAGUUAAUUUAUUUAUAGAGUUGCAUUUUGAAUUCUACAAAUAUAUUGAUUAAAAAAAUAUGCCUUUUAAUUUUAUAUAUAUUUUGGCUUGAAAGAGUAUUAUUUUUAUUAUAAAUAUUAAUUUGAUAUUGACAGAAAUCAAUUUAAAAACAAUUUUAUUCUUCCCUUAUUUUUUCAAGAUAAAUUUUAUGUUUAUGUUUAUGUUUAUGAUAAACAAAACAAAAAAUUUUAAAAAACUUACAGAAAUUAUAAUUCUUGUUUUUUCCUGAAAAUAUAUUACUUUAACCAUAACCAUGUAGCAAAAGGACCCAUGUAUCAAAGUUUAAACCAGAGCAGCCCCACUAAGCAGAAGCCUCAUUCUCAUGAUUCUCAGUGUUCUGGUACUUGAACAUCUUGGUACAACAGGUAGUACCCAAAGUUCACGAACGCUAUCGCCGUCAACAACCAAAAUACAUAAUCUAAUCUCCCGUCGUUGAUGUUAUCAGGCAACCAUCCUGUAGACCGGCGUACGGAAUCGAUGAUUGCUGUGCUUAGAUAAUAUCCAAUCCCAAUUAACAGUGAUAUCAUAGCAGUAGAAGUGCUUCUUAGCGACUUGGGGAAUUCUUGGUAAUACAAGGCAACUUGUCCUGGAAAAUGAAAAGCUUCACCAACGCCAAUCACGAUAAACUGAACCAUAAGCCAUAGACCUGACAUCGGCACGACUGAGCCGGGUGGUUCACGGUUAAGGUGAUGGGUUCGAACCACACGAAGCCUCCUCGUCUCCACCAAGGCAGAUCCCACCAUAGCGAAUAUGUUAAUGACAUGGCCAAUACCUAUUUGUUGGAGGGGUUUCAGAGAUCUUCGAGUCAGUUUUUCCCACAUUGGGAGCAAGAAACGAUCGAUGAUGGAGAUUGAGAUUGCUGUGGCUAAAAUGCUAAAUACCAGGAAUGACCCAGCUGGGAUUUUGAAGUGUGGUCCGAGGUGCCUGUCCAUGGUUAGGGCUUGGAGGACU